rnacentral:rRNA from 1 species
UGAACGCUGGCGCAGGCCUAACACAUGCAAGUCGAGCGAAGUCGUUCGGACUUAGCGGCGGACGGUGAGUAACGCGUGGGAACACACCCGUUUGGUAACGGAAUAGCCUACGGGAAACUGGGAGUAAUACCGUAUGUGCCCUUCGGGGGGAAAGAUUUAUCGCCAAAGGAUUGGCCCGCGUUGGAUUAGGUAGUUGGUGGGGUAAUGGCCUACCAAGCCGACGAUCCAUAGCUGGUUUGAGAGGAUGAUCAGCCACACUGGGACUGAGACACGGCCCAGACUCC